rnacentral:rRNA from 1 species
CGAACGCUGGCGGCGCGUCUUAAGCAUGCAAGUCGAACGGCAAGGCAGGUGCUUGCACCUGCCCUAGAGUGGCGGACUGGUGAGUAACACGUGGGUGACAUGCCUUUAGUUGGGGAUAGCUACUAGAAAUAGUAAGAUAAUACCGAAUGUGAUCAAUAUUUAUAGAUGAUGUUGAGGAAAGGAGCUAAGGCUUCGCUAAAAGAUUGGCCCGCGGCCCAUUAGCUAGUUGGUAGGGUAAAGGCUUACCAAGGCGAUGAUGGGUAUCCGGCCUGAGAGGGUGAUCGGACACAUUGGGACUGAGAUACGGCCCAGACUCCUACGGGAGGCAGCAGCUAAGAAUAUUCCACAAUGGACGAAAGUCUGAUGGAGCGACGCCGCGUGGAUGAUGAAAGGCCGAAAGGUUGUAAAAUCCUUUUACACUGGAGGAAUAAGCAGAGUAGGGAAUGACUCUGUGAUGACUGUACAGUUUGAAUAAGCAACGGCUAAUUACGUGCCAGCCGCGGC